rnacentral:rRNA from 1 species
GACGAACGCUGGCGGCGUGCUUAACACAUGCAAGUCGAACGGAAAGGCCCUGCUUUUGUGGGGUGCUCGAGUGGCGAACGGGUGAGUAGCACGUGAGUAACCUGCCCUUGACUUUGGGAUAACUUCAGGAAACUGGGGCUAAUACCGGAUAGGAGCUCCUGCUGCAUGGUGGGGGUUGGAAAGUUUCGGCGGUUGGGGAUGGACUCGCGGCUUAUCAGCUUGUUGGUGGGGUAGUGGCUUACCAAGGCUUUGACGGGUAGCCGGCCUGAGAGGGUGACCGGCCACAUUGGGACUGAGAUACGGCCCAGACUCCUACGGGAGGCAGAAGUGGGGAAUAUUGCACAAUGGGCGGAAGCCUGAUGCAGCAACGCCGCGUGCGGGAUGACGGCCUUCGGGUUGUAAACCGCUUUCGCCUGUGACGAAGCGUGAGUGACGGUAAUGGGUAAAGAAGCACCGGCUAACUACGUG